rnacentral:rRNA from 1 species
CAUAUCAAUAAGCGGAGGAAAAGAAACCAACAGGGAUUGCCCUAGUAACGGCGAGUGAAGCGGCAACAGCUCAAAUUUGAAAUCUGGCGCAAGCCCGAGUUGUAAUUUGUAGAGGAUGCUUCUAGGUAGCGACCGGUCUAAGUUCCUUGGAACAGGACGUCAUAGAGGGUGAGAAUCCCGUAUGUGACCGGCCCGCACCUUCUACGUAGCUCCUUCGACGAGUCGAGUUGUUUGGGAAUGCAGCUCUAAAUGGGAGGUAAAUUUCUUCUAAAGCUAAAUACCGGCCAGAGACCGAUAGCGCACAAGUAGAGUGAUCGAAAGAUGAAAAGCACUUUGGAAAGAGAGUUAAAAAGCACGUGAAAUUGUUGAAAGGGAAGCGCUCACAACCAGACUUCUGGGCGGUGUUCCGCCGGUCUUCUGACCGGUCUACUCGCCGUCCCGAGGCCAACAUCAUCUGGGACCGCUGGAUAAGACCUCAGGAAUGUAGCUUCCCUCGGGAAGUGUUAUAGCCUGUGGUGAUGCAGCGCGUCUCGGGUGAGGUCCGCGCUUCGGCAAGGAUGUUGGCGUAAUGGUUGUCAGCGGCCCGUCUUGAAACACGGACCAAGGAGUCUAACAUCUAUGCGAGUGUUCGGGUGUCAAACCCCUACGCGUAAUGAAAGUGAACGGAGGUGGGAAGCGUAAGCUGCACCAUCGACCGAUCCUGAUGUCCUCGGAUGGAUUUGAGUAAGAGCAUAGCUGUUGGGACCCGAAAGAUGGUGAACUAUGCCUGAAUAGGGUGAAGCCAGAGGAAACUCUGGUGGAGGCUCGCAGCGGUUCUGACGUGCAAAUCGAUCGUCAAAUUUGGGUAUAGGGGCGAAAGACUAAUCGAACCAU